GGCGUAAGGGCUCGCAGGCGGUUUCUUAAGUCUGAUGUGAAAGCCCCCGGCUCAACCGGGGAGGGUCAUUGGAAACUGGGAAACUUGAGUGCAGAAGAGGAGAGUGGAAUUCCACGUGUAGCGGUGAAAUGCGUAGAGAUGUGGAGGAACACCAGUGGCGAAGGCGACUCUCUGGUCUGUAACUGACGCUGAGGAGCGAAAGCGUGGGGAGCGAACAGGAUUAGAUACCCUGGUAGUCCACGCCGUAAACGAUGAGUGCUAAGUGUUAGGGGGUUUCCGCCCCUUAGUGCUGCAGCUAACGCAUUAAGCACUCCGCCUGGGGAGUACGGUCGCAAGACUGAAACUCAAAGGAAUUGACGGGGGCCCGCACAAGCGGUGGAGCAUGUGGUUUAAUUCGAAGCAACGCGAAGAACCUUACCAGGUCUUGACAUCCUCUGACAACCCUAGAGAUAGGGCUUUCCCUUCGGGGACAGAGUGACAGGUGGUGCAUGGUUGUCGUCAGCUCGUGUCGUGAGAUGUUGGGUUAAGUCCCGCAACGAGCGCAACCCUUGAUCUUAGUUGCCAGCAUUCAGUUGGGCACUCUAAGGUGACUGCCGGUGAC
rnacentral:rRNA from 1 species